rnacentral:rRNA from 1 species
CACGUAGGGGCAAGCGUUGUCCGGAAUCAUUGGGCGUAAAGAGCUCGUAGGCGGCUCAGUAAGUCGGGUGUGAAACCUCCAGGCUCAACCUGGAGACGCCACCCGAUACUGCUGUGGCUAGAGUCCAGUAGGGGAGUGUGGAAUUCCCGGUGUAGCGGUGAAAUGCGCAGAUAUCUGGAGGAACACCGGUGGCGAAGGCGGAUCUCUGGGCCAUUACUGACGCUGAGGAGCGAAAGCGUGGGGAGCGAACAGG